UACGUAGGGUCCGAGCGUUAAUCGGAAUUACUGGGCGUAAAGGGCGCGUAGGCGGCCUGUUAAGUCGAACGUGAAAUCCCCGGGCUCAACCCGGGAACUGCGUCCGAUACUGGAUGGCUUGAGGUUGGGAGAGGGAUGCGGAAUUCCAGGUGUAGCGGUGAAAUGCGUAGAUAUCUGGAGGAACACCGGUGGCGAAGGCGGCAUCCUGGACCAAUUCUGACGCUGAGGAGCGAAAGCCAGGGGAGCAAACGGG
rnacentral:rRNA from 1 species